UACGAAGGGGACUAGCGUUGUUCGGAAUCACUGGGCGUAAAGCGCACGUAGGCGGAUGUGUCAGUCAGGGGUGAAAUCCCAGGGCUCAACCCUGGAACUGCCUUUGAUACUGUCGAUCUGGAGUAUGGAAGAGGUGAGUGGAAUUCCGAGUGUAGAGGUGAAAUUCGUAGAUAUUCGGAGGAACACCAGUGGCGAAGGCGGCUCACUGGUCCAUUUACUGACGCUGAGGUGCGAAA
rnacentral:rRNA from 1 species